rnacentral:rRNA from 1 species
AGUGAACGCUGGCGGUAGGCCUAACACAUGCAAGUCGAACGGCAGCACAGAGGAGCUUGCUCCUUGGGUGGCGAGUGGCGGACGGGUGAGGAAUACAUCGGAAUCUACUCUGUCGUGGGGGAUAACGUAGGGAAACUUACGCUAAUACCGCAUACGACCUACGGGUGAAAGCAGGGGACCUUCGGGCCUUGCGCGAUUGAAUGAGCCGAUGUCGGAUUAGCUAGUUGGCGGGGUAAAGGCCCACCAAGGCGACGGUCCGUAGCUGGUCUGGGAGGAUGAUCAGCCACACUGGAACUGAGACACGGUCCAGACUCCAACGGGAGGCAGCAGUGGGGAAUAUUGUACAAUGGGCGCAAGCCUGAUCCAGCCAUACCGCGUGGGUGAAGAAGGCGUUCGGGUUGUAAAGCCCUUUUGUUGGGAAAGAAAUCCAGCUGGCUAAUACCCGGUUGGGAUGACGGUACCCAAAGAAUAAGCACCGGCUAACUUCGUGCCAGCCGCCGCGGUAA